AUUUUUUGUUGUUUUUAUGAAUUUGAUUUCGUUUACGUUGACGCAAAACUGAUUUGUUUUUGUUGUUUAAUUCGGUAUGCACCUUAAUACUUGAUAUAAUGAAAAACUGUUCUAUUUACCUGCUGUUACAAUGUGGUAUAAAUAGUAUUCAGCUAGUUUCGGUUUUUUGAAAAUUUUUUAGUAAUUACAAAAGAAAAGGUUGUCUUUUGUUCUUUUUUUUUUUUUUUAUAUUGUUUCUGAAAUUUGUUAAGACUUGUCGUUUACAGCGCUUAGAAGUUACAGUUUACAUAAGUUCAGUUGUUUAGGGAUUUGUAUUGUUUUUAUUUUUCUCUUCAUUCUAUUUUCUGAUUUUACUUUCGUCUUGCCAACAAUUUUGAUUACUAUAUACGUGUGUGUAUGUGUUACUGUGUGUGUGUGUGUUUGGAAGUGUGUGUUAUGCAACAAGCUGGCAAUUAAUAUCCAGAUAUAUAUAGAUAUAUGUGCGAAGUUUUGGACUAUGACAAGGCAAAAAUUUACAAUCAAAAUUAUGUUGCCUACUUUCAGACUGAACUUAGUUGAAAAUAUUUUACCUACGUCUCGGCUCAACCAAAAUGUACUUAAAUUAAUCU